UGCAAUGGUUAAGAUAUAUUGGCGAGUAUGUUGUUCAAUGGUGGCUCUAAUCGGCGAACGGUGAUUGUUCUUCGACUUGUGUUUGAAUUGUAUACGUCUUGUAUUUCUCUUUCUUUGUGGUGUCUAGUUGUACUCUUCUUAUUUUUUAUUUUGUUGUUGAAGAUCUUGUACUGUUUUGGUUUGCUCAAGACCUUUAAAUGAAAUUCAGGUGGAUUCUCUCCCCUCGGUGACCGUAAAAAAAAAGUCACUGAAUUUCCAUCUGAAUUUUGACCGCAUGUAUUGCA
rnacentral:lncRNA from 1 species